rnacentral:rRNA from 1 species
GAUGAACGCUAGCUACAGGCUUAACACAUGCAAGUCGAGGGACCGGCGCACGGGUGAGUAACACGUAUCCAACCUGCCUUUUACUCGGGGAUAGCCUUUCGAAAGAAAGAUUAAUACCCGAUAUAAAGGAUGGGGAUGCGUUCCAUUAGGUUGUGGGUGAGGUAACGGCCCACCAAGCCUUCGAUGGAUAGGGGUUCUGAUGGGAAGGUCCCCCACAUUGGAACUGAGGCACGGUCCAAACUCCUACGGGAGGCAGCAGUAGGGAGUAUUGGUCAAUGAGCGUUAGCCUGAACCAGCCAAGUAUCGUGAAGGAUGAAGGCUUAUGGGUCGUAAACUUCUUUUAUAUAAGAAUAUGUAUUAUAUGAAUAAGGAUCGGCUAACUCCGUGCCAGCAGCCGCGGUAAUUC